rnacentral:rRNA from 1 species
CGUAGGGUGCGAGCGUUAAUCGGAAUUACUGGGCGUAAAGCGUGCGCAGGCGGUUCGUGAUGUCUGGUGUGAAAGCCCCGGGCUUAACCUGGGAAUUGCAUUGGAAACUAGCGGGCUGGAGUGUGGCAGAGGGGGGUGGAAUUCCACGUGUAGCAGUGAAAUGCGUAGAGAUGUGGAGGAACACCGAUGGCGAAGGCAGCCCCCUGGGCUAACACUGACGCUCAUGCACGAAAGCGUGGGGAGCAAACAGG